AAAAAAUUUAGGGUUUUCUUCUUCUUCACCUCUCUCUUUGCCACCCCAUUUUCCCCAAAAUCCUCCAUGAAUGGUUCUUCAUUUAAGCUUACAUUUAAGCUAAAUUUUCUUCACUUAACCUUCUUAACUUCCUUAAAUACCUCACUAGAACCUUUAAUCUCAACUUAAGCACAAGAAAGAAAGAGGAAAGAAAGAGAACAAUUGAAGGCUUGGCAUUUAAAUUGAGGU
rnacentral:misc_RNA from 1 species